AUUGAACGCUGGCGGCAGGCCUAACACAUGCAAGUCGAGCGCGAAAGUUCCUUCGGGGAUGAGUAGAGCGGCGGACGGGUGAGUAACGCGUAGGAAUCUGCCCGGUAGUGGGGGACAACUCGGGGAAACUCGAGCUAAUACCGCAUACGCCCUAAGGGGGAAAGCAGGGGAUCUUCGGACCUUGCGCUAUCGGAUGAGCCUGCGUCAGAUUAGCUAGAUGGUGGGGUAAUGGCCUACCAUGGCAACGAUCUGUAGCUGGUCUGAGAGGAUGAUCAGCCACACUGGGACUGAGACACGGCCCAGACUCCUACGGGAGGCAGCAGUGGGGAAUAUUGGACAAUGGGGGCAACCCUGAUCCAGCCAUGCCGCGUGUGUGAAGAAGGCUCUAGGGUUGUAAAGCACUUUCAGUAGGGAGGAAAAGCUAUUGCCUAAUACGUAAUAGCCCUGACGUUACCUACAGAAGAAGCACCGGCAAACUCCGUGCCAGCAGCCGCGGUAAUACGGAGGGUGCGAGCGUUAAUCGGAAUUACUGGGCGUAAAGCGCGCGUAGGCGGUUUGGUAAGCUGGAUGUGAAAGCCCCGGGCUCAACCUGGGAAUUGCAUCCAGAACUGCCUGACUAGAGUACAGUAGAGGUGAGUGGAAUUUCCUGUGUAGCGGUGAAAUGCGUAGAUAUAGGAAGGAACAUCAGUGGCGAAGGCGGCUCACUGG
rnacentral:rRNA from 1 species